GGCGCAUCAACACACAGUCACCAGCUACAAUAAGAAGAAAACAACAAAAUGAACCCAAAAGUGAAUGAUCAAAACAUACAAACCAUACAAUAUUUUCCGCACCAAAUGGGCAGUUCUAAAAAAUCAUAAAAACGAUAAUUUAGGGUUUGAAAAUAGGCAAUAUAAUUACUAAUUAGCAACUUCCACGGCCUUCAGAGACCAAAACUGGAAAACAAAUGACCCAACAUUAAAAACGAAUGAAAAGAAGAAAAAAAUUGAAUUUUUUAAACAAAAUAAUGGGUUUAAUCUCAAAAUGAAGAAGGAAAGAUUUUGAGAAUCUGGGUUUUAAAAGGCAAAUAAUUAAGAUGAGAAAUUCAUGGGUUCCCAAAGCCAAAAAAACGAAUAAUGGAGAUUACGCCUAGAGAGA
rnacentral:misc_RNA from 1 species